AUGCGUAGUAGAAAAUGGCCUGGUAAUCCUUGUUGUUCUUUCUGCAAGGAGGUGGAGAGCUCUCAACACCUGUUUUUCACCUGCCCUGUUGCGAAAUGUGUGUGGAGGUCUGUUGGGGUCGUGCUGGGUACUGAUAAAUGUCCCAGCAGCUAUUGGCAAUACUAUGCGUGGUGUCACUCUUAUCUUCCUGGGGGAGAAAAUUUUUAUACUGUGGGCCUUGCAGCUGCCUGCUGGGCUAUAUGGUUGGCUCGAAAUCGUGCCACUUUUGAGAAGAAAAUGAUCAAAACCCCUUUUGAGAUUGUUUUUUCCAUGUGUUCUUUCUUGCUGUAUUGGACAGGUCUGCAACAGGGAGAUGAUGCUACUAAACUACGGGCAGGCGCAGAGCAACUCAGGGCGGGUACCAUGCAGAUGAUGAAGCUCUGCGAGGCUGCCAGGCAACCAAUUACCGGCGAAUGA
rnacentral:rRNA from 1 species